GACGAACGCUGGCGGCGUGCUUAACACAUGCAAGUCGAACGGUGAAGGGACCAGCUUGCUGGUUCUGGAUGAGUGGCGAACGGGUGAGUAACACGUGAGUAACCUGCCCCCUUCUUCUGGAUAACCGCAUGAAAGUGUGGCUAAUACGGGAUAUUCUGGGUCUGUCGCAUGGCGGGCCCGGGAAAGAUAUUGCUUCGGUGGGGGAUGGGCUCGCGGCCUAUCAGCUUGUUGGUGGGGUGAUGGCCUACCAAGGCGGGGACGGGUAGCCGGCCUGAGAGGGGGGACGGUCACACUGGGACUGAGACACGGCCCAGACUCCUACGGGAGGCAGCAGUGGGGAAUAUUGCACAAUGGGCGCAAGCCUGAUGCAGCGACGCCGCGUGAGGGAUGGAGGCCUUCGGGUUGUAAACCUCUUUCGCCAGUGAAGCAGGCCUGCUCCUUGUGGGUGGGUUGACGGUAGCUGGAUAAGAAGCGCCGGCUAACUACGUG
rnacentral:rRNA from 1 species